AUUGAAAGCUGGCGGCAGGCCUAAAACAUGCAAGUCGAACGAGUGGCGGACGGGUGAGGAAUGUCUGGGAAACUGCCUGAUGGAGGGGGAUAACUACUGGAAACGGGAGAUAAUAACGCAUACCAUCGGAUGUGCACAGAUGGGAUUAGCUAGUAGGUGGGGGAAAGGCUAACCUAGGCGACGAACCCUAGCUGGUCUGAGAGGAUGACCAGCCACACUGGAACUGAGACACGGUCCAGACUCCUACGUGAGGCAGCAGUGGGGAAUAUUGCACAAUGUGCGCAAGCCUGAUGCAGCCAUGCCGCGUGUAUGAAGAAGGCCUUCGGAUUGUAAAGUACUUUCAGCGGGGAGGCGUUACCCGCAGAAGAAGCACCGGCUAACUCCGUGCCAGCAGCCGCGGUAAUUC
rnacentral:rRNA from 1 species